UCAGUACAUAUGAUUUCAGUUCACCUAUCCCCCUUAAAUGAGUUUCAGAUCCACCACUGUGUACCUAUACUUACCUAUUUAUUUUUAUGCAAAACUGCCAAAUUGUAUGUUGUAAAAUAUCCUUUUACUGAUUUUAUUAUUAUAUGUAAUAAAUUUACCUAUAAUUUUAUACAGUGUAGGCGUGUACUUGUAUCAUAAAAUACGUAAUAUGUAUUCAAUUUAGGUACCUAGCUUUUGUACGUUAAGUUACCUACUUCAUGGCUAAUAUUUAUACGUUUUUUUAAAACUUUAAGAACAUAUUAUUAAACGAAUUUCUCACCGUUACUUAUACGUUAGUAAUACCUGUACAGUAUUUUGAUAGAAUUGAUUAUCUGUGCGUCGAGAUUUAAGUUCCCAUAUAAUGGAAUAAAAACCGCGGUGAAUUUCGAGGAUAGAUGUAGACUUCCAGACAGGACCUGUAGACUCUUCUAUAACAUAUAGCAUAGUUACUGUAAACAC